rnacentral:rRNA from 1 species
UACGUAGGGGGCAAGCGUUGUCCGGAAUCAUUGGGCGUAAAGCGCGUGUAGGCGGCCCGGUAAGUCCGCUGUGAAAGUCCAGGGCUCAACCCUGGGAUGCCGGUGGAUACUGUCGGGCUCGAGUCCGGAAGAGGCGAGUGGAAUUCCUGGUGUAGCGGUGAAAUGCGCAGAUAUCGGGAGGAACACCGGUGGCGAAGGCGGUUCUCUGGGCCUUACCUGACGCUGAGGAGCGAAAGCGUGGGGAGCGAACAGG